UGUGGGUUGAAACAGAAAGAGAAAAGUCGAGCGGGACGGGUUUUGGGGGAAUAGGAGAAAGGGCUUUUUCUUCUCCGCUGUCUGGGAUUUGAACAGGUGUGACAGAUGUGUGGCCUCACUGGAAACAUGUCAUUCGUCUUCCAGAGACUCUUCCUCUCCUGCUCUUCUUCAGACCUGUUUCUACUUCUAGCAGAAAACCUGUCAUGAUGCCUUCGGUCCAGGUCUCUGCAGCUGCUGCUGGAUGAAGAGCGAUGGAGCUGCCCUCUCGGUUCCUCUCUGAGCUGCUCUGAUUGUGCACACAAAGCCGGUCGGAAAUUG